GAUGAACGCUGGCGGCGUGCCUAAUACAUGCAAGUCGAGCGAACGGACGAGAAGCUUGCUUCUCUGAUGUUAGCGGCGGACGGGUGAGUAACACGUGGAUAACCUACCUAUAAGACUGGGAUAACUUCGGGAAACCGGAGCUAAUACCGGAUAAUAUUUUGAACCGCAUGGUUCAAAAGUGAAAGACGGUCUUGCUGUCACUUAUAGAUGGAUCCGCGCUGCAUUAGCAAGUUGGUAAGGUAACGGCUUACCAAGGCAACGAUGCAUAGCCGACCUGAGAGGGUGAUCGGCCACACUGGAACUGAGACACGGUCCAGACUCCUACGGGAGGCAGCAGUAGGGAAUCUUCCGCAAUGGGCGAAAGCCUGACGGAGCAACGCCGCGUGAGCGAUGAAGGUCUUCGGAUCGUAAAACUCUGUUAUUAGGGAAGAACAUAUGUGUAAGUAACUGUGCACAUCUUGACGGUACCUAAUCAGAAAGCCACGGCUAACUACGUG
rnacentral:rRNA from 1 species